ensembl:lncRNA
CUUCCCUCUGGUAAACGCUACAGAUCCAUCAGGUCAAAGAUAAUCAGACUCAAUAGAAGCUUUUACCCACAGGCUGUCAAACAUGCCCUAUCUCCACCCUGAUUGAAGGUUAACUGUGCUGUUAACACUCAGGAACACUUGCACUGUACUUAUUUAUAAACACUAUUCAUUACAGUAUUUAUUUCUAAACUGUACUCAUUACAGUGUCAAAUCAAAAAUCAAAUCAAAAUGUAUUCAUAAGCACAUUUAAAAACAACACGGGUUGAGCCAAAUUGCUGUACAUAGUAGAGAUAAAAUAGUAAACAUAUAUAGUAAUUUAUCCACUGAUCCACAUCACUUUACCCGGAUGUUUUCUUUCAAGCUGGAUGAUGACUCCUCUCUCCCUCACUCCAGUUCCAGCUUUGCACACCAGUUGCCCUCUGAGGUCACAGUGAUCAUCGGAGGCAGGAGACGGGAAAGUCAGAUCGGUUUCUUCCAUCUUUUUUCUCCAUGUUUAGAAAAACACUCCUAAAAUACCCAAGCAAAUAAAUAUCAUUAAAGAUUUACACACUUCAUUAGAAAACAGUGAACACAUCCCUAACCCUAACAUCACAAUAGCCAGAACAAGCACGGCCGGAGGUACUGUGAUGUAUUUUUUCUCUCAUCUCUCUUCAAAAAACCGCUGUGAUCCUGACGGGUCCUGUCAGCAUUUCAUGUUUGAGCACAUCCAAACCUAAUCCGUACUUCCAGAUGACACACUGCAUCAUAAGCCACUGCUACUGUUUCCUCAUAAUGCCAAAGAGUCAUGAAAUGAAAACUCUUUCCCCUCUCUUCAUAUAUUAUUUGCUCCUGGGCUUAUCAUUUGCCCACAGCAAAUAAAAGACUCAGCCUAACUUCCAAAUUUCCAAAUGAACUCACGCCCACUGCACUGCAGAAUAAUAAACAAUUACAUUUAGGCAGAGAUUACUUUUUCUCUGUAAAUGAUUGGCGGUCAGAAACUUGGACCUUGUCUCUACACACAGGAGAGAGCUGCUGCCUUUCUGUGGUGGACUUCGGAAGAUUUCCUUGUGAGGGAGCUGGUGGUGAAGAUCUCGAGGUCCUCCUUGAUUCCUGCGAU